AAUCAACGCUGGCGGCGUGCCUCAGACAUGCAAGUCGAACGCGAAAGUCCCCUUCGGGGGACAAGUAGAGUGGCGCACGGGUGAGUAACACGUAGGUAAUCCACCUUCGGAUGGGGAAUAACAACCGGAAACGGUUGCUAAUACCGCAUAAUGCAGCGGCACCUAAUGGUGACAGUUGUUAAAGCGGGGGAGUCGAAAGACCUCGCGUCUGAAGAGGAGCCUGCGGCGGAUUAGCAGUUGGUAAGGUAACGGCUUACCAAGGCGACGAUCCGUAGCCGGCCUGAGAGGGAGCACGGCCACACUGGAACUGAGACACGGUCCAGACUCCUACGGGAGGCAGCAGUGGGGAAUUUUGGUCAAUGGGCGAAAGCCUGACCAAGCAACGCCGCGUGGGUGAUGAAGUAUCUUGGU
rnacentral:rRNA from 1 species